AAGGUUUCCGUAGGUGAACCUGCGGAAGGAUCAUUGUCGAAAUCCUGCACGGCAGACCCGCGAACAUGUUUGAUCUCAUCGGGACUACGGUGCGGGGGGCAACCUCUUCCCGUUUUCCCUUCCUGCCGGCGCGCGCGCGAGCGUGUGCCGUGCGGGCUAACAAACCCCGGCGCGGCACGUGCCAAGGAAAACUGAAAGAAGCAUCCGCCUCCCGUCGCCCCGUUCGCGGCGCGCGAGGGUGAAAGGGUGUCUCUCUCGAAUGUCAAAAUGACUCUCGGCAACGGAUAUCUCGGCUCUCGCAUCGAUGAAGAACGUAGCGAAAUGCGAUACUUGGUGUGAAUUGCAGAAUCCCGUGAACCAUCGAGUCUUUGAACGCAAGUUGCGCCCGAAGCCUUUGGGCCGAGGGCACGUCUGCCUGGGCGUCACACAUCGCGUCGCCCCCACCCUCUCGCCCUACCAAGGCGAUCGUCGUGUGGGGGCGGAUAAUGGCCCCCCGUGCGCAGGGACGCAUGGCCGGCCCAAAUGCGAUCCUGCGGCGACGCACGUCACGACCAGUGGUGGUUGAAGCAAACUCAACUCGCGUGCUGUCGUGCCGGGCGACGUCGUCCGCUCGUCCAUCGUUAAAGACCCAAUGGCGUGAGCCAAUUGCGCUUCC
rnacentral:rRNA from 1 species